rnacentral:lncRNA from 1 species
GGUAGGGACUGUUUUUCGUCUGUGGUAAAAAAGAAAUACUCUCUUCCCAACAUGAGAUACACAUGAAAAAUAAAGACGGCCACACUUUUUCCUUGAGUCCCUUUCUUUAUACCCUUCUCCAAAGUACUGUGAAUGAAGGCAUAAGCGACUAGUGAAAAUGAAGACACCAGCCACACAGACUUGUUUUACAGACCGGCUGAGGCGGUGGCUGAUUAUAGAUGAAAAGAUGACCAAGAGAAGAAUCCCACUCUUCCUGAAAUUCAACUGGUGAACAGAGAAGACUCAAUCAGUGAAUAGCAGAAGAUAAAUCUUUAGAAAAAACAGGGAAGCACCAAGAGGAAGAACCACACGCCGGAGCUGUCAGAGCCAACCCAGAGACCUCCAUCCUCAAAGAAGCAGUGCUGUUAAGCAGGCACCCUACUUCUACACUUCAAACACCCAAGUGGGAAGUCAGGAAUGUGAAUCGAAUGCCUAUUAGGAUUAACAAUCUGGCUCUUAAUCAUGGGCAGCUACCAUAUAUCUCCGCC